rnacentral:rRNA from 1 species
GACGAACGCUGGCGGCGUGCCUAACACAUGCAAGUCGAGCGGAGUCAGUAAAAGGAAGUUUUCGGGUGGAAUUUGGGUAUUUUAGCGGCGGACGGGUGAGGAACGCGUGAGUGACUUGCCUUCCACAGGUGGAUAACGUACCGAAAGGUACACUAAUACCGCAUGAGACCACAGCACUGCCUGGUGCAGGGGUCAAAGGAGCAAUCCGGUGGAAGAUGGACUCGCGUCCGAGUAGAUAGUUGGUGGGGUAACGGCCUACCAAGUCAGCGAUCGGGAGCCGACCUGAGAGGGUGAUCGGCCACAUUGGAACUGAGAGACGGUCCAAACUCCUACGGGAGGCAGCAGUGGGGAAUAUUGGGCAAUGGGGGAAACCCUGACCCAGCGACGCCGCGUGAGGGAAGAAGGUUUUCGGAUUGUAAACCUCUGUUCUUGGUGAAGAGGGAAAGACGGUAGCCAAGGAGGAAGCCCCGGCUAACUACGUGCCAGCCGCCGCUGUAA